UAAGACGAACCGUGCGAACGUUAUUCGGAAUCACUGGGCUUAAAGCGCGUGUAGGCGGGCCGGCACGUCGGUACCUGAAAGCCCCCGGCUCAACCGGGGAACCGGGGCCGAUACGACCGGCCUGGAGGGACGUAGGGGGACCUGGAACUUCCGGUGGAGCGGUGAAAUGCGUUGAGAUCGGAAGGAACGCCCGUGGCGAAAGCGAGGUCCUGGACGUCCGCUGACGCUGAGACGCGAAAGCCAGGGUAGCGAACGGGAUUAGAUACCCCGGUAGUCCUGGCCGUAAACGAUGGGCACUGGGUAGGGGGCUCGCCGAUGGGCUCCCUGCCGCAGCGAAAGCGUGAAGUGCCCCGCCUGGGGAGUAUGGUCGCAAGGCUG
rnacentral:rRNA from 1 species